rnacentral:rRNA from 1 species
AUUGAACGCUGGCGGCAUGCCUUACACAUGCAAGUCGAACGGCAGCACGGGAGCAAUCCUGGUGGCGAGUGGCGAACGGGUGAGUAAUAUAUCGGAACGUGCCCAGUCGUGGGGGAUAACGCAGCGAAAGCUGUGCUAAUACCGCAUACGAUCUACGGAGGAAAGGGGGGGACCGCAAGACCUCGCGCGAUCGGAGCGGCAGAUAUCAGAUUAGCUAGUUGGUGAGGUAAAGGCUCACAAAGGCGACGAUCUGUAGCUUGUCUUAGAGGACGACCAGCCACACUGGAACCGAGACACGGUCCAGACUCCUACGGGAGGCAGCAGUGGGGAAUUUUGGACAAUGGGCGCAAGCCUGAUCCAGCAAUGCCGCGUGCAGGAUGAAGGCCUUCGGGUUGUAAACUGCUUUUGUACGGAACGAAACGGCGAGCUCUAAUACAGUUUGCUAAUGACGGUACCGUAAGAAUAAGCACCGGCUAACUACGUGCCAGCCGCCGCGGUAAGAC